UGAGCGUAAACUCCUUUUAUCAUGAAAAAAUAAUGACGGUACCUGAUGAAUAAGCACCGGCUAACUCCGUGCCGACAGCCGCGGUAAUACGGGGGGUGCAAGCGUUACUCGGAAUCACUGGGCGUAAAGGACGCGUAUGCGGAUUAUCAAGUCUUUUGUGAAAUCUAGUGGCUUAACCACUAAACUGCUUAGGAAACUGAUAGUCUAGAGUAGGGGAGAGGUAGAUGGAAUUCUUGGUGUUGGGGUAAAAUCCGUAUGUAUCAAGAAGAAUACCCAUUGCGAAAGCGAUCUGCUGGAACCUAACUGACGCUGAGGCGUGAAAUGGUGGGUAACAAACAGGAUUAGAUACCCUGGUAAUCCACGCCCUAAAUGAUGUAUACUAAUUGUUGCUUUGCUAACUAAGGUGUGUAAUG
rnacentral:rRNA from 1 species